rnacentral:rRNA from 1 species
GGGUCAGUAGGUUGGUCGUGCCACCGGUACGUACUGGUCUCACUGAUUCCUCCUUCCUGAAGAACCGUAAUGCCAUUAAUUUGGUGUUGCGGGGAAACAGGACUGUUACUUUGAAAAAAUUAGAGUGUUUAAAGCAAGCUAACGCUUGAAUACAUUAGCAUGGGAUAAUAAAGUAGGACGAUCGAUCCUAUUUUGUUGGUCUCUAGGAUUGACGUA